rnacentral:rRNA from 1 species
UGGGGAAUAUUGGACAAUGGGCGCAAGCCUGAUCCAGCCAUGCCGCGUGAGUGAUGAAGGCCCUAGGGUUGUAAAGCUCUUUCACCGGUGAAGAUAAUGACGGUAACCGGAGAAGAAGCCCCGGCUAACUUCGUGCCAGCAGCCGCGGUAAUACGAAGGGGGCUAGCGUUGUUCGGAUUUACUGGGCGUAAAGCGCACGUAGGCGGAAUAUUAAGUCAGGGGUGAAAUCCCGGGGCUCAACCCCGGAACUGCCUUUGAUACUGGUAGUCUUGAGUUCGAGAGAGGUGAGUGGAAUUCCGAGUGUAGAGGUGAAAUUCGUAGAUAUUCGGAGGAACACCAGUGGCGAAGGCGGCUCACUGGCUCAAUACUGACGCUGAGGUGCGAAAGCGUGGGGAGCAAACAGG